UUCUUCUUGGCUGUAAAUUGUAAAAUUUGCCUCAGACAAUCUCGGGACGCCGAGAGAGAAGGCAGCUUGGCCUGGGAGGCAUUCUGAAGGCCUGGGUCGGAAGAAAGAAAGAAAGAAAGAAAGAAAGAAAGAAAGAAAGAAAGAAAGAAAGAAAGGGCAGCCGCGGCUAGAAGGCCCGAAGAGACAGGCUCCGUUUCUGAAGCAGAAAUGGCAAAGCCUUGUGAAACGGACGGAAGAAAUAAAGGCAAAAUUUUUGAAAAUUUCCACAGCUUUUUCUGAAGGGACCAGCGCUGAAUUCAAGUCAACGUGAAGAAAGAAACAAAAGGUCGAGAGGACGGAAGAUGCUUGAAGACACCCUCGCAAGGACACCGCCUGCCUCCCAAAAAAGGUCGUUUUCAGGUUAAUUGGUGUAAGGGUAGGCAUUUAAUGUCUAUCUUUGCAUUAAAAAAAGGGUUACCUUUGCACACGGUUCCCCUCGCGGGUGGCAUCGAAGUCCCCCCACUCGGGAACGAACGGGUCCUCCCUUUGUUCUAGGCAGAUGAUGGGUCUUCCUAUACGGGCCGUAGGGGUCACAGCUUGGGGGUCAGCGGGGGGGCCCGCCCUGGCAUCGCGGGGGGCAGCACACGUUACGGGCAUUUUAAGAUGUCCUUGCAACUUAGAAAUAAAAAUAUUAAUACCUUAACUCACUUACUAACAUCCUACUAACACCAUUCUAAAUAGGGUACCCUGGCCUUUUAAAUAGGACUGUUCUGCCUGAUGGCAAGAACCAAGCUGGGAAGGGAGGGGGCCUCCUGGCCCCCCAUAAAAGGGCCCCCAUGGAAGGACAUUGCAAAAGGCCCCUAAGGUGUCCUGAGAGCAGCCUCUUGGUCCUCAGUGUUCCCCACGGUGCCAGGGCUGGGCCCCUCGCUCUCCCCCAACCCAUGGACCCUGCCGCUUGUAUAUCAUCCGCCCAGGGCCAACGGACGCCCCCUCCCUCCCCGGGCGGAGCUUCGAGGCCACACUCAAGGGGAGACCAGAGCCGUGUGCUUCAUGCCAACGCCUAGCACGUGGCGAACCUUUUUUUUUACUGCAAACAUAGGCAUCAUGAUUGUGAUUUUUGUUAAUUCCUUUUAAAUUUAAUUGUUUGUAUUUGAUAGCAUGAUAGGCUGGUUUUAUAUCAGUGAGCCGCCCCGAGUCCCUCUGGGGAGACUGUGGCAGGGUAGAAAAAUAAAAUUAUUAUUAUUAUUAUUGAUUCGAGGCACCUGGAAAAAGAAAUACCAGGAAGCAGAUAAAAUUAUUAUUAUUAUUGAUUCGAGGCACCUGGAAAAAGAAAUACCAGGAAGCAGAUAAAAUUUUUAUUAUUAUUAUUAUUAUUAUUGAUUCGAGGCACCUGGAAAAAGAAAUACCAGGAAGCAGAUAAAAUUAUUAUUAUUAUUAUUAUUGAUUACAGGCACCUGGAAAAAGAAAUACCAGGAAGCAGAUAAAAUUAUUAUUAUGAUGAUUAUUAUUAUUAUUGAUUCCAGGAAAAAGAUAUACCAGGAAGCAGAUAAAAUUAUUAUUGUUAUUGUUCUUGUUGUUGUUAUUAUGUAGGACCCCCUUUUAUUUAUGUAAGGCCACACACCCAGGGGACCACUAUUCCUAAUUAAAGCCUGGUUAAAGGGGAUCCUCUAUUCUUAAAGUUAGGCGUAUAGAGAUCUCCUAUCCAGAAACUAAUGCGGCCUGCCCUAUAGAGAUCUGUUAAACCAAGGCGGCCUGCCCUAUAGAGAUCUCCUAUUUCACGUAACACCAGGCAAUAUGGAGAUCCCUGGUUUUUUUAACCGUUAAAUCCCUUACGUGGGGAUAUCCCUGGUUAUUUUAACCUUUAAGUCCCUUACGUGGGGAUAUCCCUGGUUAUUUUAACCUUUAAGUCCCUUACGUGGGGAAAUCCCUGGUUUUUUUAACCCUUAAGGCCAGAUGUGGGGAUUUCCUUGCUUUUAACCCGUGAGGCCAGCCAUGGGGAGAUAUCUUAGGCUGUUUUCACGAAAAGUCAGGUAUAGACGCACUGUUUUCUCUCCCGUUCCAUGUGCCUGGACUCCCGGAGGGCUCCUGCCGGACACCGUCUCCCAUCGGCCGAGAGGGAUCCUUCUUGUCUGGGAAGGAUCUGCAACACAGGUAAAAAGAAGAUUCCGGGAAGGAGAUUCUACAGCGGAGCCCUUAAGCCAGGUGAGACACUCCUUCCAGCCUCCACGGCUGCCUUGCACACACACACACACACACAUGAGACACACAAACACACAUGACACACACAAACACAUACACAUGUACAGCUGGUGCCCACGGGGACUCUUCCCCAAUAGAUCGGGGACUCCCACUCCGGCGAUUGGCCAUUGUAAAUGCCUUGAAGCAGUUUGGGGCUUCCGGCCAAGCGCUUGCAAAGAGAAUCCAUUCAAGGUUGGACCCCUUUUAAAGGGCCUGGCACGUGGUAUUUAUUCCUGGCACGUGGAAAACUCCAUUUGUAAGGCAAACCCUCGUUAAAGGAGGUUUACAAUUAGUUUAAAACCAGGCUUCUGAGGGACCCGCUGCGUUUAAAGCCAAACCUAGCAGGUGGGAACCCCUUGGUUAACGUAAGGCGAGGGACCCUCCAUAUUUAAUAAGAUGCCUGGCAGAAUCUUAACCUAAAUGCAGGCCUAUGGGCUACAGCCUAUUCUGCAUAGCCAGGCAUGGGGGGACCCCAGAUUAUUAACUUGAAGCCUGGGAAAAGGAGAUUUUUGUAUUUAUUUAUUUAUUUAUUUAUUACAAUAUUUAUAUCCCGCCCUCUCUCCCCUUAAAAGGGGACUCAGCGGCUUACAAGUGAUAUUUACAUAUUUAUUUAUUACAAUAUUUAUAUCCCACCCUCUAUCCUUAAAAGGGGACUCAGAGCGGCUUACAAGUGAUAUUUACAUAUUUAUUUAUUACAAUAUUUAUAUCGGCCCUCCCUCCCCUUAAAAGGGGACUCAGAGCGGCUUACAAGUGAUAUUUACAUAUUUAUUUAUUACAAUAUUUAUAUCCCGCCCUCUCUCUCCUUAAAAGGGGACUCAGAGCGGCUUACAAGUGAUAUUUACAUAUUUAUUUAUUACAAUAUUUAUAUCCCACCCUCUAUCCUUAAAAGGGGACUCAGAGCGGCUUACAAGUUAUAUUUACAUAUUUAUUUAUUACAAUAUUUAUAUCCCGCCCUUCUCACCCAACAGGGGACUCAGGGCGGCUCAACAAUAAGACGCAUAUAUAAAAACCACACAGUGCAAUAUAAAUCAUCACUAACUUACAUCAGUAUUCAUAAAACACAUUAUAAAAUACAGAUAGGUGUGUUCAGUUCAAAUCCAUUCAAGGUAUACGUGGACCCCCUUUUAAUGCCAACCUUUCCACGUGGAAAACUAUUUGUAAGGCAAACCCUCGUUAAAGGAGGUUUGCAAUUAAUUUAAAACCAGGCUUCUGAGGGAUCCGCUGCGUUUAAAGCCAAACCUAGCAGGUGGGAACCCCUUUGGUUAACGCAAGGUGAGGGACCCUCCAUUUUUAAUAGGAUGCCUGGGAGAAUCUUAACCUAAAAGCAGGCCUAUGGGCUACAGCCUAUUCUGCAUAGCCAGGCAUGGGGGGACCCCAUAUGAUGAAUUUGAAGCCUGGUAAAAGGAGCUUUUUGUAUUUAUUACAUUUAUAUCCCGCCCUCUCUCCCCUUAAAAGGGGACUCAGAGCGGCUUACGAGUUAUAUUUACAUAUUUAUUUAUUUAUUACAAUAUUGAUAUCCCGCCCUCUCUCCCCUUAAAGGGGACUCAGGGCAGCUUAACAAUAAGACGCAUAUAUAAAAAACCAUACAGUGCAAUGUAAGUCAUCAUUAACUUACAUCAGUAUUCAUAAAACACAU